UACGUAGGGGGCAAGCGUUGUCCGGAUUUAUUGGGCGUAAAGAGCGUGUAGGCGGUUAGGUAGGUCCGUUGUGAAAACUCGAGGCUCAACCUCGAGACGCCGAUGGAAACCAUCUAACUAGAGUCCGGAAGAGGAGAGUGGAAUUCCUGGUGUAGCGGUGAAAUGCGUAGAGAUGUGGAGGAACACCGAUGGCGAAGGCAGCCUCCUGGGCCAGCACUGACGCUCAUGCACGAAAGCGUGGGGAGCAAACAGG
rnacentral:rRNA from 1 species